rnacentral:rRNA from 1 species
GUGUUUGAACAGUAUCCUGAGUAGGGCGGGACAUGUGUAAUCCUGUCUGAAUCUGCCAGAACCAUCUGGUAAGGCUAAAUACUUCUGAGAGACCGAUAGUGAACAAGUAC